UACGGAGGAUGCAAGCGUUAUCCGGAAUUAUUGGGCGUAAAGAGUCCGUAGGUGGCGAUUCAAGUCUGCUGUUAAAGACCAGAGCUUAACUCGGGAAAAGCGGUGGAAACUGAAAAGCUAGAGUUCGGGAGGGGUAGAGGGAAUUCCAAGUGUAGCGGUGAAAUGCGUAGAGAUUGGGAAGAACACCAGUGGCGAAGGCGCUCUACUGGACCGAAACUGACACUGAGGGAGGAAAGCUAGGGGAGCGAAAGGG
rnacentral:rRNA from 1 species